rnacentral:rRNA from 1 species
CCUUGAUGACGACUGGCGCACGGGUGAGUAACGCGUAUCCAACCUUCCCAUAACUACGGGAUAACCCGUUGAAAGACGGCCUAAUACCGUAUGAUAUCGUUUGCUGACAUCAAAUAACGAUUAAAGGUUUAGCGGUUAUGGAUGGGGAUGCGUCUGAUUAGCUUGUUGGCGGGGUAACGGCCCACCAAGGCUACGAUCAGUAGGGGUUCUGAGAGGAAGGUCCCCCACAUUGGAACUGAGACACGGUCCAAACUCCUACGGGAGGCAGCAGGC